rnacentral:lncRNA from 1 species
UUUUUCAUAUGUUUGUUUUUAGAUAUUGGCAGAUGCCAGCUAAGAGACCUAUAUGGAACCUCCAAUUUGAAUAAUGUGUUCGUUUGAACAGUUCUUCUAUUAGCCAGCACAGAUGAUGGUUCAGCUCCUAUAUUAUUUAUAUUGAAAGCCUUACCAUACAUAAUAUGUAUAUAUUUUAGUUCUUCAGUCUAUUUCACACUACUCUAGCAACGUAUACAUGUUAACAUCAACAAAAAUACCGUUUCUAGCGGAACGCGGAAGGGAUACAAAAGAUUAAUGUGUGUGUCGGCACAUAGAUGCUUCAAUGGUGAUUAGUUUUGGUUUUCUGUAUCGUUUUCUGUUUGUUAAUAUACUUUACGUCUUUACCUUUUCAAAAAUAUAUUGCAACUUCAAGGAUUACUAAUGUAAUUCUUAAAUAAUGCAAUCCAGUGCAUAAAUUAAAAAAGUGGAAAGAAACAGCUUACAGGCUUGGGUUCAAUUGGAUACAUGAUAUCCACAAUAGUACUCUGUUCAGUCUCAUCUUCCUUGAAGGGGUGAUAAAAGUCUGCAAAAAGUUAACGAGUUAAUGCACCGCAGGUAUGGUGUACUAUCAGAAGGACAAAAAAGCAAUCAAAGUCACAACAGAAGAAUAACUCAUAUGCUAAAUCCUUCAACAAGUCCAAUUGUUAAAAAAUAUAAUCCACAUUAAGUGAAGAGAUUUCAAAACGCCACAUAUUUCUUGAGUUUCUGUGAAACCAUGUACCCUUAACAAAAAUUAGAUCAAUUGUUGAUGAAGUAUAGAACAAAUGGGUUCACUAUGCUUUCUAUGGACCACAAAACAGUAACCUUGUGAAUUGAUUAAAAGCUAGUCUUUC